UUUGACCUCAAAUCAGGUAGGACUACCCGCUGAACUUAAGCAUAUCAAUAAGCGGAGGAAAAGAAACUAACAAGGAUUCCCCUAGUAACUGCGAGUGAAGCGGGAAAAGCUCAAAUUUGAAAUCUGGCAGUCUUUUUUUUCUUGUUU
rnacentral:rRNA from 1 species